UACAGAGGGUGCUAGCGUUGUUCGGAAUCAUUGGGCGUAAAGGGCGUGUAGGCGGUUUGUUAAGUCAUGUGUGAAAGCCCCCGGCUCAACCGGGGAACGACGCAUGAAACUGGCAAGCUAGAGUACCGAAGAGGGGGGUGGAAUUCCCGGUGUAGCGGUGAAAUGCGCAGAUAUCAGGAGGAACACCGGUGGCGAAGGCGGUUCUCUGGGCCUGUACUGACGCUGGAGGAGCGAAAGCGUGGGGAGCGAACAGG
rnacentral:rRNA from 1 species